AGAGUUUGAUCAUGGCUCAGAACGAACGUUGGCGGCGUGGAUUAGGCAUGCAAGUUGAGCGUACCCAGCAAUGGGGAGCAGCGUAAGGGGCAGUAAGGCAUGGGUACCUACCCGAGGUUCGGGCAUAGCCUGUAGAAAUACAGGGUAAUUCCCGAUGAUGUCGUAAGACCAAAGCUCCGGCGACCUCGGAGGGGCCCAUGUGAUAUUAGCUAGUUGGUGGGGUAACGGCCCACCAAGGCGAAGAUGUCUAGCGGGUGUGAGAGCACGACCCGCGCCACUGGCACUGAGACACUGGCCAGACACCUACGGGUGGCUGCAGUCGAGGAUCUUCGGCAAUGGGCGCAAGCCUGACCGAGCGACGCCGCGUGUGCGAUGAAGGCCUUCGGGUUGUAAAGCACUGUCGAGGGGGAGAAAAGCGAAAGCUUGAUCUAUCCCUGGAGGAAGCACGGGCUAAGUUCGUGCCAGCAGCCGCGGUAAGACGAACCGUGCGAACGUUGUUCGGAAUCACUGGGCUUAAAGGGCGCGUAGGCGGGCUAUCAGGUCCGGGGUGAAAUCCUCCAGCUCAACUGGAGAACGGCCUCGGAUACUGAUGGUCUCGAGGGAGAUAGGGGCACGCGGAACUGUGGGUGGAGCGGUGAAAUGCGUUGAUAUCCAUAGGAACUCCGGUGGCGAAGGCGGCGUGCUGGAUCUCAUCUGACGCUGAGGCGCGAAAGCCAGGGGAGCAAACGGGAUUAGAUACCCCGGUAGUCCUGGCCCUAAACGUUGGGUACUAGGUAGUAGACUAGACGUGGGUUUACUUCCGAAGCAAAAGUGCUAAGUACCCCGCCUGGGGAGUAUGGUCGCAAGGCUGAAACUCAAAGGAAUUGACGGGGGCUCACACAAGCGGUGGAGCAUGUGGCUUAAUUCGAGGCUACGCGAAGAACCUUAUCCUGGGCUUGACAUGUUCGAAAGAGUUCGCAAGUAGAACCCGGAAACGGGGACGAACGGUAUCCAAUCCGGAAGCGAACACAAGUGCUGCAUGGCUGUCGUCAGCUCGUGUCGUGAGAUGUCGGGUUAAGUCCCAUAACGAGCGAAACCCUUACCCUCAGUUGCUAAUCAUAGGACUCUGGGGGGACUGCCUACGUUAAGUGGGAGGAAGGUGGGGAUGACGUCAAGUCCUCAUGGCCUUUAUGUCCAGGGCUACACACGUGCUACAAUGGCGUGAACAAAGGGAUGCCAACGCGCGAGCGGGAGCAAACCCCAAAAAAACACGCCCCAGUUCAGAUCGGAGGCUGCAACUCGCCUCCGUGAAGCCGGAAUCGCUAGUAAUCGCGGGUCAGCAACACCGCGGUGAAUGUGCUCCUGAGCCUUGUACACACCGCCCGUCAAGCCACGAAAGAGAGGAGCGCCCGAAGUCACCUUCACCGGUGCCGAAGGCGAAACUCUUGAUUGGGACUAAGUCGUAACAAGGUAGCCG
rnacentral:rRNA from 1 species